UCUCACCUCCCUCUAUUAAAAUUCUACUCCUUGCUCAGCCCCGUCUCUGAGAGUGGGUUAGCCAAGCGUGUCACAGUGAGAACCAGUGAAUGUUAAUGAACUGUGUGUGUGUCAGGGAAAGAGGGAGUAUUCUGUGAAUAUGAGACAUUUCUGCUCUUUGAGGGCAGAGCGAGCGGAGAGAGGAAGAGUGGAGAGAGGGAGUAGAGCAGAGAGAGGGAGGAGAGCAGAGAGAGGGAGAACGGAGAGAGGGGGAGAGCGGUGCGAGGGAGGAGAGCGGAGAGAGGGAGGAGAGCGGAGAGAGGGAGGAGAGCGGAGAGAGGGAGGAGAACGGAGAGAGGGAGGAGAGCGGCGAAAGGGAGGAGAGCGGAGAGUGGGAGGAGAGUGGAGAGAGAGAGUACAGCGGGGAGCGGGUGGAGCGGAGAGAGGGAGGAGAGCGGAGAGAGAGAGUACAGCGGAGAGCGGGUGGAGCUGAGAGAGGGAGGAGAAUGGAGAGCAGGAGGAGAGCGGAGAGGGCGGAGAGCGGGAGGAGAGUGGAGAGAGAGAGUACAGCGGAGAGCGGGUGGAGCUGAGAGAGGGAGGAGAAUGGAGAGCAGGAGGAGAGCGGAGAGCGGGAGGAGAGCGGAGAGAGGGAGGAGAGCAGAGAGAGGGAGGAGAGCGGAGAGCGGAAGGAGAGUGGAGAGAGGGAGGAGAGCGGAGAGCGGGAGGAGAGUGGAGAGAGGGAGGAGAGCGGAGAGCGGGAGGAGAGUGGAAGGAGAGCCGAGAGCAGAGAGAGCCCCCACGGCAUUCUAACCCACACACUCUGUGUCACCACCGUGGUGAAGAAAAUGAUCAGCCAACAAGCUGGAAGAGGUAGAGGAGAGGAAAAAGAGUGGAGAAAGAGAGGGAGAGUGAGCUCUGUCCACUCAAGACACUCCAGAAGUUCCAGUUUCCUCGAUGGAUUAUCCAGAGCCCCACGGACGGAGGGAGGAGUGGAGGAGAAAAGAAAAAGACGAAUAGAGCAGAGAGAACAGAGAAGAAAGGAAUUGCACUCCGGACAGCCAGUCCGCGUGACGGCCCUGCAGGCUGUGUUUGGGACUCUGGCUAAUUGUGGAGUAUUCUCAGGACUCCAGCAGAGGAACGAGAGAGACCCGCUCUAUCUUUCUUUUCAUUCUAAUUAAUUCCCCUCUGUGCAGACACUCAAAGAGAUUUUCUCUCCUUCCUUCGCUCUCUCCCUCCUUCUCUCCAUCCGGCGACUUGAGAGCAGAAUAAUUGGGAGUGGAGAUUGGCUUUUCUGUGCCUCUGCCAGAGGAGUGAGAUCUCCCAAUCCUUCACACACCUGGUUGUGUGCGAGUGUGUGCGUGGAUGAGUGUGUGUGGAAUCUCUGACUUAUCCCUAGGGGCUUUGGGAGGGGGUGUACCACACUAGUGUGAACUGGACGUGCAUGACAGAAACAUGAGAAAAGGAAAGAGGGAGUGAGAGAAAAACGUAGUACAGAGCACUAAUCAGGUAGAAGUAUUUCCCUGAGGAGGGAUGUGAGGGGAGAAAAGAAGGAAAGUACUGCUUUCACUUGAAGCCCAACCAGUGAUGUGGAUGGACAGAGUGAGCAAAUAAACGACAAGACAGAAGAGGAGAGAAGAGACGAGGAGAAAAGACAUCGGCCCUUUCACAACAUCAGCAAGUCACCCAGACUGAGAAGAAUGCACAAGACAGAAGUGAAUUGACGAACAAACAAAUUGUCAUACUGUCAGUCCCCUCAACCUCUUAGUUUUCUGGUCUGUCUCUCUCUUAGGGCAAAGUGCCAAAUACACACACACACACACACACACACACACACACACACACACACACACACACACACACACACACACACACACACACACACACACACACACACACACACACACACACACACACACACACACACACACACACACACACACACACACACACGCAGAGAGAGACACAAAAGAACAGAAUGAGAGAAACCUGGCUUCGUCUGGGACCUUUUUUCAGGAUUUGUUGUUUUUAGCACCCAUUUAUUGUUUCCCUCUCUGCCCUCUUCACUCUCCUCAAUCUCUCCUCUCCUCAAUCUCUCCUCCAUCUCUCCAUCUCUCCUCUCCUCAAUCUCUCCUCUCCUCCAUCUCUCUCCUACUCCAUCUCUCCUCAAUCUCUCCUCUCCUCAAUCUCUCCUCUCCUCCAUCUCUCUCCUACUCCAUCUCUCCUCAUUCUCUCCUCUCCUCAAUCUCUCCUCCAUCUCUCCAUCUCUCCUCUCCUCAAUCUCUCCUCACCUCCAUCUCUCCUCCAUCUCUCCAUCUCUCCUCCAUCUCUCCAUCUCUCCUCCAUCUCUCCUCUCCUCCAUCUCUCCUAUCUUCCAUCUCUCCUAUCUUCCAUCUCUCCUCCAUCUCUCCUCUCCUUCAUCUCUCCUCUCCUCCAUCUCUCCUCUCCUCCAUCUCUCCUCUCCUCCAUCUCUCCACAUAGGCUCUAAGAACAGCAUAUAUCUUCUACACAGACCCUUCUCUCUCUCUCUCUCUCUCUCUCUCUCUCUCUCUCUCUCUCUCUCUCUCUCUCUCUCUCUCUCACUCUCUAUCACUCUUUCCAACCCCCCUCCUCACACCUCCCUUCUUCUUCUCUCUUUGCCUGCUGCUCCCUCACUUGCCCGGUCUCAUUGUCUUCACACACAGCCGGAGUGUUUUAGUGUGAGUGUGUGUACGGCGUAACCAACCUAUUCUGCAGUGGAGCCGCGGAGCACAGGGGGAGCCUGAGUUAUUACAUGUCUUAGUCAGACCAUGCCCCAGUUCACCUUCGCCUGUUUUUGCAGUCUGUACGGCUUCUGCUGGACACGGAGGAAGAAGAAAAAGCAGAAAAGGGAGGAACAGGAUGAGAUGCAGGAGAAACGGAGGGAUCAGGAGACUGAGGUGUGAAGGAAGCCUGGAGAGACUUCACCCUCCUCUUCAUUCUCUCAGAGACUCUGGUGUGGUCACGAUUGUGACGGCAUUCUAAUUCGUCCAGAUCCUUUUCUAGUCUUCACGCUGUGGUGCGUCUCUCCUCCACCUGCAGCAGCUGUUCCAUCAGCAGCUUCACUGGAGUGUAUAGGUAGAGGUCAAAGCUCAAAACAAACGUUCUUUACAAUCUCCUACACCUUUGAGAUACACGUGCACACACACACACGAGCACGCACACACACACACACACACACACACACAUUAAUUAAAGUCCUGUGUAGGUCUAUAAAUGCCAGUGGGGUGUAGGGACACCUAUCACCUGUUUAUGAUGAAAGUAGUGAAUGUGAUUGUGUGUGCACUGAGACUUCAUUGCAGCUGGACCACAGAGAGUUGCAGGACUGCACCUACCAGUUAAGAUAAGCAUAUGCUGCAGAAUGAAUGCCCUUUACACGCGCAUGCAAGCACACAUGCACGCAAACACACACACACGCAGGUCUCAUUAGCCUGUGUAAUUAUGCAUGGCACGUCCAGUUGGCCAGUGGAGAAGUAAUUAACCUUUUCCAGCAGGAAACAGCGAUCUGGACGUCUGACACACUCACAUGCACGCACACACGUCUGGUGUCACGGAAAUAAAGUGUCAAAGACAGGGGCUGGCAUUCAAUGAUAAUCCCCUCACGCAUAUUUCCAUCCAAGGCUUAAAACACUAAUAAUGCCAAAUUACCUCUCCUCUCUCUUUAUCUUCCCUCCUUUCUCUUUCUCCCUCUUUUUGUCCCCAAGUCCUUCUCUGUCUUUUUCUCUGCUUAACUCUCCCUCCCUCCCUCCCUCCCUCCCUCACACCCUCCCUCCCUCCCUCCCUGUCUGUCUGUCUGUCUGUCUGUCUGUCUGACUGACAAACCUCUUUCUCUAUCCCAUUUCCCUGUCUGUCUGUCUCUGGCUACGAAACCUCUUUUCUCCACCAUUCUCCCUGUCUCCCUCUCCUUUCUCCCCUCUCUCAAUCAAUUUGCCCACAUCCCUCUCUCUCUCCUGCUCUUUAUCUCUCAGUAAAACACAUGUUCUCUGGGCAGUGAGCAUGGCCUUGCCUGGCUGGCAGCACCCAUAGAUUAACACCAGCAUUCUGAAUCUCACUCAGGGAGCCCUCUCGCCAAGACCACAAAAGCUGCUUUACAGUUGAAGGAGUAGGAUGCCUGUGUGUGUGUGUGUGUGUGUGUGUGUGUGUGUGUGUGUGUGUGUGUGUGUGUGUGUGUGUGUGUGUGUGUGUGUGUGUGUGUGUGUGUGUGUGUGUGUGUGUGUGUGUGUGUGUGUGUGUGUGUGUGUGUGUGUGUGUGUGUGUGUGCGUGCGCGCGUGUGUGUGUCUGUGUGUGUUUAUACGAAUAGGUGUGUGUGUGUUUAUAAGAAUAGAUUAAGCGAUAGGGUUGAUUGUGUAUUUACUCAUUCUACCAUUGAGGGAAAGUGAAAUGGGAUAACAGUAAGCCAUUUCACAGAGAUGAGCAGAUGUGAGUCACCAUGUUACAGAAAGGCUUUUCAAUGAGAAAGAGAGGGAGAGAGAAAAAGAGAGGGAGAGGGGGAGAGAGAGAACAGUUAAUGAGAGAGGGAUGGAAAUGGAAGAAGGAGCUAAUACUCGGCAGUCAUGCUAAUUGGCUACAUUUGCUAACUCUCUGAGGCGAGAGGAUCCCGGCAUUACACUCUUUUAAUGCUCCCUCCAUCACGUUAAAGAAAGGCUUUGCUUGUAUAAUGAAGAGGAGCUGAAAUGAAUAACAGUUUGUUAUUAUCUGUGGGAGGGUUGUUUUUCACCUGAGUGACUAUGUGCAGACUUCUAUGGAUCAUAUCCAUGCUCACCGAGCCUUACUCAAGGACAAACAGCUAAAAAUAGAGGGGAGUACGCGACUACUAUAAUAGCAGGAGCGAAGGAAGGAAGGGAGCAGGAGAGAGAACGAGUUCUGUCAGAUUAGAUUCGGGUCAGAAAAGAUGGGAAGAGCAAGUGAGGCAGAGGGUGUUUCAUACGGAGGAGAUUAAUCACACUCUCUCCCUUUGUCUCACUAUUGCUUUCUCUCCCUCUCUUUCUUCCUUUCUCUCUCUCUCUCGCAUUCUCUUUGUCCCUCUCUCUCGCUCUCUCUCUACUCAAUACCUCCCUAUCGCACACCUGCAAGAUGGGGAGGGAAGUGGGGAGGAAGAGAGACAAAUAAACUUAAAUAUAGCGGGGUAAAGAGAAAGAGGAAACCCUCCAUUUCACUCCUCAUAACCUUCUCCUCCCUCCUCUCCUCAAAUCAAAUCAAUCAAAUGUAUUUAUAUCAAAUCAAAUUUAUUUAUAUAGCCCUUUGUACAUCAGCUGAUAUCUCAAAGUGCUGUACAGAAACCCAGCCUAAAACCCCAAACAGCAAGCAAUGCAGGUGUAGGAGCACGGUGGCUAGGAAAAACUCCCUAGAAAGGCCAAAACCUAGGAAGAAACCUAGAGAGGAACCAGGUUAUGAGGGGUGGCCAGUUCUCUUCUGACUGUGCCGGGUAGAGAUUAUAACAGAACAUGUUCAAAUGUUCAUAAAUGAUCAGCAUGGUCAAAUAAUAAUAAUUACAGUAGUUGUCGAGGGUGCAGCAAGUCAGCACCUCAGGAGUAAAUGUCAGUUGGCUUUUCAUAGCCAAUCAUAAAGAGUAUCUCUACCGGUCUCUAGAGAGUUGAAAACAGCAGGUCUGGGACAGGUAGCACGUCCGGUGAACAGGUCAGUGUUCAAUCCUCAUCACCUUCUCCUCUCUCCUCUCCUCUCCUCAUCGCCUUCUCCUCUCUCCUCCUCUCCUCAUCGCCUUCUCCUCUCUCCUCCUCUCCUCAUCACCUUCUCCUCUCUCCUCCUCUCCUCUCUCCUCAUCACCUCCUCUCUCCUCCUCUCCUCAUCACCUUCUCCUCUCUCCUCCUCUCCUCAUCACCUUUCUCCUCUCUCCUCCUCUCCUCAUCACCGUCUCCUCCUCUCCUCAACACCGUCUCCUUUCUCCUCCUCUCCUCAUUGCCCUCUCAUCUCUUCCCUAAUUGAGAUUAAAGUGAGCCAUGUACUCUAAUGCUCUAAUUGGGCCUAGGAGAUGGGAACCAAUAGAGAUUGAUAAAGGUGGAUAGAGAUAGUGAUAAAAGAGGAGGGGAAAGAAAAAGAGAGGGAGAGACAGGGAUUGAGGGUUAAGACAAGUGAGAAGCUUUAGUGAUUGAGAGACAGAGAGUGUGAGCACUAUAUUGAGAGAGAGAGAGCUUGUGUAAUUGUGAUGGUAAUAGGUUUUGUCAGGAGCACCUGUUAGGGUCGAGCUGGAGCCGCUCUGGAGCGACGAGGAGAUGGAGGAGAGGAAAGGAAGAGGGUAAUGGAGUCAGGAUCCCUCUGAGGAAAGUCCAAUCCAUGAUAGCGUUACCUGAUUGCCAAUUUGUGUCUGUCUUCAGAUAUCACACACACAAAACACACACACACACACAUGCACUGUGUGGAAUGAUGGAGUUGAUUGGACAGGCUCUUGGUGCCUAACGAGGGGUCCAGGGCAAUCACAGACCAGUUGCUUUGUGACUGGAGGAGAAUGAAGGACGCUACAGCUUGUAUUCUCAUAAUUUCUCGAUGAAAAGGGAGCGCUACACUGAUUGUCUUCCCCCUACUGUGCAUGCACUUGAGUUGUGUUUCAAUCGGGCGUGCUGUACAGAAAUGUAUACUGGAACAGAGAACUUUGAUCAAACUUCUGUGAUUGAGGCUGGAGUCCUAGGGACUCAUCUUUUCUCUGUCUUUCUUCCUCUCUCACUAUUUUUCUCUUCACUCAAUCUCUUGUUUGUCCUGCAUCUCUUUUUCUCUCCUUGCACGCACACACGCACCCAUCGAUUGGAGAGUCGAUAUUGAGCAGUGGCUCUCGUCUAAAUUAAUAUUUGAUUUCUCUGGGGGUUUCAGACUGGAACCCACGGUAUUGAGUUACAAUCUGAGGGAUUGCUCUAAAUGUUGUUUGAUUAAGUUUGUGUGUGUGUGUACGUGUGCGUGUGUGGUGCCUGCCUGCGAUACAACCCCCAACACACACAUUCAUGCACACACUCACACACACUCACAUGACUUGUCUAGAAUGCAUCACUCCCUGCUAAGCCUCUGCCAUUAAAGCUGUUCAUUUAUCAGACA